CAAUGGCGGCGGCUACAAUGCAGUCGAGCGAACAGAUAAUGAGCUUGCUCCUUUGACGUUAGCGGCGGACGGGUGAGUAACCGUGGAUAACCUACCUAUAAGACUGGGAUAACUUCGGGAAACCGGAUCUAAUACCGGAUAAAAUUUUGAACCGCAUGGUUCAAUAGUGAAAGACGGCCUUGCUGUCACUUAUAGAUGGAUCCGCGCCGUAUUAUCUAGUUGGUAAGGUAACGGCUUACCAAGGCAGCGAUACGUACCCGACCUGAGAGGGUGAUCGGCCACCCUGGAACUGAGACACGGUCCAGACUCCUACGGGAGGCAGCAGUAGGGAAUCUUCCGCAAUGGGCGAAAGCCUGACGGAGCAACGCCGCGUGAGUGAUGAAGGUCUUCGGAUCGUAAAACUCUGUUAUCAGGGAAGAACAAAGGUGUAAGUAACUGUGCACGUCUUGACGGUACCUGAUCAGAAAGCCACGGCUAACUACUUGCCACCAGCCGCGGUAAUACGUAGGUGGCAAGCGUUAUCCGGAAUUAUUGGGCGUAAAGCGCGCGUAGGCGGUUUUUUAAGUCUGAUGUGAAAGCCCACGGCUCAACCGUGGAGGGUCAUUGGAAACUGGAGAACUUGAGUGCUGAAGAGGAAAGUGGAAUUCCAUGUGUAGCGGUGAAAUGCUCAGAGAUAUGGAGGAACACCAGUGGCGAAGGCGACUUUCUGGUCUGUAACUGACGCUGAUGUGCGAAAGCGUGGGGAUCAAACAGGAUUAUAUACCCUGGUAGUCCACGCCGUAAACGAUGAGUGCUACGUGUUAGGGGGUUUCCGCCCCUUAGUGCUGCAGCUAACGCAUUAAGCACUCCGCCUGGGGAGUACGACCGCAAGGUUGAAACUCAAAGGAAGUUGACGGGGACCCGCACAAGCGCUGGAGCAUGUGUUUAAUUCUAAGCAACGCGAAGAACAUCAUCAAAUCUCGACGUCCUCUGACACUCUUAGAAGAUAGAGUUUUCCCCUUCUGGGGACAAAGUGAACAAGGUGGUGCAUGGUUGUCGUCAACCUCGUGUCUGAGAAAUGGUUGGGUAAAGUCCCGCAAACGAAGCGCCACCCUUAAGCUUAGUUGCAUCAGUAAGAUGGGCAGCUCAUACGUGGACAUGACGGCGACAACCGAGAUGGUAGGGGAUGACGUCAAUCAUUCAUGCCCUUCUGUAUUGGCUACACUGUCUCAAAUGCAAUCAAAGCAGCUAACCGCUAGUUCAAGCCAAAUUCACU
rnacentral:rRNA from 1 species